CCGACGCGGCCGCGUUCACCGCGCGGCCUCCCUCUCCUCCGACGCCGGCCGCGGCCACCACGCCCCGACGCGGCCUCCCUCUCCCCCGACGCCUCGACGCCACCGCCGGCCGCGGCCACCCUCUCCCCCGACGGCCCGGCUCCACCGCGCCCCGACGCCCGGCUCCACCGCGCCCCGACGCGCCGGCUCCACCGUGCCCCGACGCCCUGGCUCCACCGCACCACGACGCCCCGGCAUCACCGCG
rnacentral:lncRNA from 1 species